ensembl:lncRNA
UACAGAUGACACAUUAAUGCACUUUUACUCUGUUUAGUUUAGUUUAUUAAGACUGGAUGUAAGAACAAUUUAGAGGAAGUUUGAAAGCUGAAACCACACUGGAUGCUAUUGGUUGCUAAUGCUGAUGUUUAAUGUACAUACAUGGCAAAUGCUUGAUGUCAGACCAAAGUGUGUGUCUGUGUUCAGGAAGACUACCAACCACAACCUACAAGAUGCACUAUAUAUAGUUUAUGAAAAAUGACCACGAAAGAUGAUGGCAGGGCAGAUCUCACUCGCCAGGGGGCGCUCUGUUGUGUAAAGUUAUAUCUGUCUCGUAGAAUGGAUUGUGAAAAGGUUCUGGAACAUUUGCUGUUUUCAGAAGAGCAAUGAGCUGCCAAUACAGUCUCUUUUUUUAUUCCUCUUUGGCUUCAGUACUGCACUCACUGGUAAGUUAUGGUUUCAUUUUGUGUAGAUAUUUGAAUGAACUGAACUAAAACAGCCCCUUUUGCAAAUCUUAUACAUGCAAAUUGCUGCAGUUAGAGUUUGUGCACAUCCACCUUUACUAGAAGACACUUACAGAAAGUCAGAUACUGUAUAGGGAGAACAGAUGACCGUUUAACCGAUAAUAGUUUGAUAAUUACUAAUUUCACAUAUCAUUUAGGAUAGUGUAACAAGGAGUCAGAGACGUUCGGAUCCAUUUGCAGUAGUUUAAUAUAGAAUGGUCAAACAGGCAGUAAUUCAAUAACGGCGUCAAAUGUGUAAAGGGAUAUCCAGAAUCAGUAACAGUACCAGGCAGAGGUCGAGGCAGGCGGCAGAGAAUCAAAGGCGGUAUACGCAAUCCAAUAUCAGACACAGAAGGAACAAACACUAGGAAAAAUGCUCAGAAAUGCUAGACAGGGCUAAACAAGACUUCACAAUCAUUGAGAGUCCAAACACAGAAUAUAUAUAGGGGAGUGGUAAUGGGGAACAGGGAAUGGGGUAAGCCCUAAGCACGGGAUUAUGGGAAAUGGAGUUGGAAAUGGAAAUGGACACCAAAUGCUAGAGUCCUGAGUGGAGUGCAUGGAAUUCAUGGGCCCUCCAGCUGACGAUCAUGACAUAGCCACCCCAGCUGAGCAGUUGGGCCAGAAGCCCACCAGGGCGGAGCAGAGGACCACCACAGUGGAGUCGAUGGCAUAGGAGAGCAAGUCUGGUCAGGUAGGACUGAAA